GACAGAGGUCUCAAGCGUUGUUCGGAAUCACUGGGCGUAAAGGGUGUGUAGGCUGCGUGUUAAGUCAGAUGUGAAAUCCCGGGGCUCAACCUCGGAACUGCAUCCGAUACUGGCAUGCUAGAGAAUUGGAGAGGAGUCUAGAAUUCACGGUGUAGCAGUGAAAUGCGUAGAUAUCGUGAGGAAUACCAAGUGCGAAGGCAGGACUCUGGACAUUUUCUGACGCUGAGACACGAAGGCCAGGGGAGCAAACGGG
rnacentral:rRNA from 1 species